AACUGGUGAUGAUAAUCGUAAGGCUUGUUUCUCAGAAACAUUCGCAGUGGCCGACCAAGAGCUUUCGCCUUCGUCAGGCUUGAGAGCUUGUGCUGUCUUGCUCCUUCCUUCCUUGGAUGUCUGAAGUU
rfam:Helianthus annuus linkage group 15, whole genome shotgun sequence.